CCAAACAAAAAGAAAUUUCGCAAGGCUAUGAUUGGCCACAAAAUCCCGGCUUGCGAUUGGUUAGAAAGCUGACUGUGAUCAUAAGAUAUAACCUAGAAUUUAAAUUUUAGUUGACGGUUGUUUGUUGUUUUAAUGUCUGUGCAAUAUCCAAUAAAAAUAAACAAAAUAUAGAACAAUAAUAAUAAUAUUAUGUAAUUAUAAUGAUUUAUAAUUUCCUAAAGAAAUAUAUGCUUUAGAAAGAUGUAACAUAUUUAAAGAGAAAAUGUAAAAUGAGAUGUAAAAUCUUGAGAAUCCAAGAGCUGCAUGUCUGAAAGCAAAAUAAAUGAAACUGAGGGCAUAGAUAGAUAACAUUUUACUGAAACACAAUGAAUAAAAUAUCACUGAAUAUGAGAAGAUAGUUCAUCAAAAGUUGGCGAUGUUUAAGAACAAUUUUGCUGCAUCGAACAAUCAUAAUCGCUGCUGUCAGUCAUACAAAGUAAACUGUGUGAAAGUUUAGUCCUAUCAAAAUUUAACUAUGGUGAUGUUGUGUAUGGGCCAUUCCACGAACGCUUCUGUUCUAGACCAUUGCGACAACGAAUAUUUUAGUGUGCAACAUAAGAAGUACGAAAGUAAAUGGCUGUAAAAAUUAUUCCAAUAAAGAAGAAUGUAAUUUGCAAUUUAGUUUCGUACUUCUUAUGUUGCACACUAAAAUAUUCGUUGUCGUGAUGGUCUAGAACAGACGUAUAUUCGUGGAAUGGCCCAUAUGGACAUUGUAUUCGAUCAGAUGACAGAGGAAGAAUUCGGGGGGUUCAAAAGACACCAGCCUAUUUGUCACAAAGUUAAAACAUGUAAAAUGGUUGAGCGUGGAAAAGAGAAGAUUUCUACAUGCUGCUUGUCUGUUCCACAAAAUUAUCAAAAACUCACUACCAACAUAUCUUUUUAAAAAAGUUAUACAGUGAUGAGCGCCCUAAUAACCGGCAAAAUACAGCAAAGGUGGAAAAUAUUAAGUUGUGAGAUAAACAGAAAUGAAACUAGUGGAGGUGGUAGAUUUAGCGAUAAAAACUUAUAAGUUUACAUUCUACUUAUUUUUUCCCACCUUUAGACGUAUCAGAUGAGUAUUUCAACUAAAACUGUCACAGUGGCAGUUGCCAAACUCGUCCGAUACAUCUAAAGGUGGAAAACAAUAAAUAUAAUAUAAAUGUAUAGGUUUGUAUCACUAAAUUUCCCACCUACACUAGUUUUAUUUCUUUUUAUCUCACAACUUAAUUUAUUAGCGCACUCAUCACUGUUUAUAGAACUGACAUAAGGGGCACAGAGCAACAGUGGCCUAACUGCAAAAAACGAAGUUUUGAGAUAAAUGCAAUCUUUGCAUUCAUAUUUACAUUGUGCUUAUGGGAUGAUGCUACAAAUUAUGUAACGAUAUUUAGCCAAAUAUACAGGUAGGUUGUGUAGACCCUUGUUAAUUUGAAGAUUUAAUGUUGCUACUUUUAUUGAUGUAUUAAUCUAAAAAUGCUCAAUUUGUGCUUUUUUUCUCUUGCUUAAGAUGAAAAGUCUAGGUGCUGAUUUCUUGAAAUCGGUACCAACUGAUCUUCAGCAUUUUUUUAGUAUUUUGUGCAUAGAGGUAUAUCGUCAUUGUCAGAGCCAAACCUCAUAUGUACAUUAUUGACAAAAUCCACUAUUUUUUUAUUUAUAAUUACAACACAUAAUACUGAUAUAAUCUUCUUAAUAUUAUUUCUAAAUUUAAAGAGUAUAGUACUUUUUAACACAUUUCGGCAAAAUGAUAUUAAUUCUGAUAAAGAUAAAAAAUAUAUAAGAGUUUUUUUCAUUUCCUGAAAAAUCUCACAACAUGCACAUAUGUACAAGAUUUGGCACUGAGGCCGACGAUAUAUGAUUAUAUUAUAUCAUGUUAUAUUUUGUGUAUUGUUUGAAUUUGAACAAAAAAUGCAGACCUUUAUUGUUAUUAUUAGAUGCAGAUAUUUCCUCUUGUAUAAUAUAGUAAGACAAAACUUUGAAUAUAAUAAGUGUUACCAAAUUAGUUCAAUUUCAAUUUUUUUUCCUAUGCAGGAACAAUGUUGUAAAUGCCAAAUCAGAUUUUGUCUACAACUUUUGAAAAACAUGCAAGUAGUAAUGAUUUGAAAAAAGCAACUUUAUGAGGAUAACAUGAUAGAUUUUAGGAUGCAUCAAGUAAAGUCUUAAUAUUCCCAAUGCUCGGCAGUACAUUAUUUUGCACAUAUAGAACUUUGUUCCUGGAAAACCAAAAUACAACUAUUGUGGUUACGCAAACAUUGUUCCAGCAUAGGAUUCAAUUAUUAUCAUAGAAGACACAAUUUUUUCAAGACAUGACUACUAUCUGAUGUAUCUCUUUUAAUUGGAAAAAUGCCAAAUGUAAUAUUCAGUCAAAUUCUUAGUGUUCCGCACACACAUACACACACUUUGUCUAGAUCUAGAGUGAUGCGUAGCUAUUUUUCCACUCUAUGAGUUAAAGAUUAAGGACAGGUUGUUCUUCCAACAUGUUUAUUCUUUUCUUGAACCAAACGAAUUGAGGUUUGUCAGGUUUGACAGCUAUCUUCCACUACAUAAACUUUAUUAAAUUAAAAGCUUCAUGUAGAUUUGUUGCAGUACAUCCUUCAUUUUGUAUAUUUGGCAGCUAUUACUGUAUUUCAUACAUACAGAAUUACAAUAAUCGUGGCAGUACUAGCUGUUCUCAUGUUUUGAAUAAAUAUUAUAAUUUCCAACUAAUAACAUAUUAAAAUAAUAUAAUAUGACCAGGGGUUUUGUGUAGCUUGUAGAUUAUAUGUGUAUUAGAGCACUAUUUUCCAUAGUUAAAAAUAUUAUUUUAUGUAUAAAUUUUAUGAAAUAAAAGCACAUACUUAUCUAAAAACAAA
rnacentral:lncRNA from 1 species